AACUCAAGCGUUCUUCAGGGCUGCAUUCACUGGGACUGUAACCAGCCAUCCUGACUGUGGGGCUGCAUCUCAGGGGUCAGCUCUUCUGGUAAAAGCCACACACCAUGUCAAAGGUAUUGUUUUUCUCCCAUUUAGGCAAGUUCCCCAGACUGUGACCUCAUUUAUGCUGUAAUAACAUCUCAAAAUUAGCAAGCAUCCUCCAUGGGGAUUUGAGGACAUUUAGCACCUUUUAGAGGGGACUGAGAUUUUGCCAGGCCUGGCCCUAAAGCUUUAUUUUUCUACCUGGACACCUUUUUGCAAACAUUUUGCAGAAGCUGUCAGUAACCUGGUAGGAAAACGGUUGUUACCAAUUUGGUUUAACAGCUCCUUGUGGUUAUUUUUUAACUCUGCACCUUAAUUGAAGUGGAAAAUAGAAAUUCCUGUCAGCAGGUGUGCAUCUGCUUCUGAAAUCUGCCAACAUCACAUGGCAUUCAUCAUGUCUUGCAGACUGGCGGAUCCCUGAAGCCUUUCCCAGAAGCUCUUGUUGGCGAAGGAUGGUACAGACACUUCUGCGAGCACUCUCCUUAUGAAGAUCUAUAUGAAGCUGUGGUAGCAAUUAGGAAUGAACUGGUGGGAAGAAAGAUAUUCUGAGAUCACAGCAGGAUUUAUAAGGGUACUUUUUCACAGGCUCCAAACAAGUAAUUUUUAUAAACUUUGCAAAACAACUAAUGUAAGGUCUUGUGUGUGACUAUUGAAGAGCUUUCAGGACAUGUCUGUCUCUGCUAUGAAUCUACUGAAUGGUCUUCAGUGACUCAUUUUGCAUCCCCAUGUCUUUGUUUCACCAUCUAUAAAUUAAGGGUAAUUGUAAUGAUUUCCUUGCUAGUGUUUUGAGAAGUAUUUACAAUACAGUUCAAUACACAAAACCAUUGGCAAUCAGUGUUUCUCUCCCCUCUCCAAAUACAUCUACGUGCUUUUCAUUUAAUGUGCCUGCACCAAAGUGUGGAAAGCAAUACGGUCUGUGUAGUGAUUUUCAGAAGGAAAAGAGUGGAAGCAAAAAAGAAAAUGAAAGAGAGAGCUCCAAUAAUUGCAGUUUGGAGCUGCCCGGUUGUGUUUCUAAUACUACAUCUCCCACUGGUGAGGCUCUGGAGGUAGAAGCUCCUUCCAACCCUCCCUGAAAGGGAAAAAAGCUGCUGUCAAGAAAUACAUUUUGGUUAAUUUUAAUGAAUUUGAUGAAAACUUAUUAUCCUGGGUUUUUUGUUUUUUUUUUUUUUGUUUGUUUGUUUGGUUGUUUUUUUAGCAAAGUUUUGAAGCAAGCCAGGCUGAGUUUGGGUACGUUAUGCCAGAUAUCUAAAGAAAGAGCUUUCUCUGUGAGGUUUGUGUAAUCUGGAAAACUGAUUCUGUACAUGGUGUGUAGAUCCAAGUACUAUAUUCUUUGAAUUAGGAGAUGCGAGAGGCUGGCACAAGAGGUUAUGUGCUAAAGGAAUGGCCACGCUCUGAGGUUACAGAGAUGAGUCAUGUCUCCAUGAAGGAAGCCCUUCUCUAUGAGGGCACUGUGGUCUGUGUCCAUUUUUGUUAACAUGCUUGCCAAGUGUGGUGAGUGGCAUCCUGCAGAGUGAGGGAAGACAAAUCAUGGUACAAGGGCACACAAUGCAAACUCGACUGGGAGAACUUGAACUGGAGAGUUGAUGUAGGUGAAGCUUACACUAGAUAAUUCUCAUGCAUUUAUCAGAGUUGGAUUAUCCCAGUUCAAGCCAUCUUCAGGCUUCUGUAAUUAUGGAUUGUCACUGUGAUCUAGAGGAGGGUCAUCUAAAGGAAACCUUUGAAAAACAGUGUUGUUGGAGCCUUCCUUGAUAUUGACUUUAUUUUGGGGCUUAGAUCUUGGCAGUGCUAAAGCCAGUGAAGAGUUUUACUAUUGGCUUCAGAGUGGUUAGGCCAUAAGGUUUUUUCUUAAGGAAAUUUCUAGGCUAGAACACAAAACAGAACAGUAGUGUAAAGGGUCUGCUUUUUUCUAUAAUUGCCUUCAUUGCUGACAUUCUAUUUUUCUUCAGUCAGUCAACUCCUGCCUUAAUUACACUUUAGAGAACCUAUGGACACCAGUAUUUGCAGAGCUGAUUCCCAGAAGCAUUUGCAAACUUGCCUUGUUUUUAAAUGGGCUGAAUUGUGUUGCCUGUUAAAAUAAAUGCACUUGUCAAAUCCCUUUCUUCAACAGCCUUGCCUUACACCUUGCCUUGACAGUGUAAUAAUGUCUGUAAAAACAACCUAAAUGCCACUUUCUACCUACAGCCACUUCUCAGUCCUCAAAUGAAUGGCAAGAAGGGGGUGGGGGAGAGAGAAAUACUAAACCUGCAUGCUGGGAUAAGUGUCAUAAGGCUAAGGAGCCUUUGGCAUCACUCACAAAGACUGGUGAGACUAGGACAGCUGUAUGUACUUAAGAAAAUGCUGGGGGAAAAGAACCUAAGAGGAACUGAUGGAAAUACUCUAUGCAGAUUAUUAAGAAGAGAGGAGAAACCAUUUAUUUGUUUGCUGUUGUGAGGUUUGUGGCUCUGGGAGGGAUGCUCUGCUUGGCACCUGACGGAUCCCCUGAGUGAUGUGCUCUGCCCAGAAGCUGGAUAUGUCUGGUCCAGAAAUUUAAGAGUUAAAUAACUUCCCAUUGCUGAGUGGGAUACAGGAACAACUUUUCCUACUGCAUCAGCAGCUGCCAACAGAACUCAGUGACAACUUUAUAAAUCACACCUGAAGCAAAUAAGAAUGCUGUGUUCGAAAUGAGCCCUUAUCUCUUCUUGUUUGCACUUGGCUAUUUUGUUUCUAAAGGUCAUGGGUGGAAGCAGAAGGAGCAGUCACAGGGUGAUGUAUGUUGCCUUUGGCACUAGGUGAUUAAUUUGCUGUUAGGGCACAGUAACGUGAAAGUGAAUGGCAGAAGCUGGCGUGAGGGAUGAAAAGAAGAGGUGAAAAAAGUUAUGAAGCAAGCAUGUUAAAGAAAAGUGAGGGGAAAAAAAAAUAAGAGAUGUAUCUGCACAGCCUCCAAAACUCAUGUAGCUGUUGAGGAAAAUGGGAAAGACAGAUGAAAAUCAAUUAUUUCAGCCAGCGUCUGUCUUCUUUUUUGCUCAGGAACUCAAAGCACUUUGAAAACACGAAGGAAUUAAACCACGUGUCCUGUCUGAGAGGCUGCCAAAGAGAUGACUAGUAGCUUCAAAAGAGCAGUAGUGGCUUGGACUUGACAGGCAUCUAACUAGGAAGGACCACCAGCUUGUCUUUAUGGAAACCAUUAUCCCAGAUACCUCCGGGAACUGACCUUACGAUGCUGUUGGCUUUUGCCACCUUGGAACCACUAACCCAGAAAAGUGGAUGGAACUUAAACCCCAUUUUCUAAAUACUGGGUUUGUAUUGUUUUUGACUGAUCCUCCCCCUUGGGACUCCUAAUUAAAUUAUUUACGCCAUGUGUAGUACUGAGGCAGUAAUUACAGAAGAUAUUGCAGGAUGUGUCUCUGCUGAAGCUAAGCAAAUAAGAUUAGAAUUCUUCCUCCCAGAUCGGCAGUGCAAAUUAAAUAUUUAUUCUUUCAUGUAGGGAAAAUGUCAGCUGUUUCAAAUUACCUGUGAAAGAUCUCAAAUGAUUUGGAAUCAUGAAAGAUAAAAGUCUGACUUCUGAUUGAAAAUAUUCUGUAGGUUUAGGGUUCUUUUCCACCUUUUUUGUCUCUUUGGACUAAGAUCAGCCCAUGAAAUUAAUACAUUCAUGCUAUUCGUUUUUUCCUUUUUCCUUCUUCUUUUUUUUUUUUUUUCCAUUUGUUAAUGUUAGUAAGGUGUUCUAGUCAGAACUGAUCAUUUUACAUUUAUAGCCUGUAAAAUUCCAGGCUUAAAAGGAUACUGUCAAGUCAAAUUUGGCUCCAAAUUAAGGCUUGGCCUGGGAAAAGAGACAUGAAUUCUAAUCCCAGUGACCUGGUGUGUGACCUGCUUCACCUCCUCAUACCUUGAUGUGCCUCUAAAUAAAAUGAGAGAUACAACGCUCCUUUCUGCAAUUACCUGUAUCGCCUGUGACAAUCUCACUCUUCCAGGCGCUACAAGACAUCUUUCCCCCCUGAAAGAAGAAUGAUGCGGAAAGAAAGGUUAUUUGAUAGUCAAAGAAACAAGCUGUGGAGCCAUUUUUAACAUUACAGGACCAAAGUUGUCACUAUUGCAACUCUGCUGAUUCUAAAUGAUGUUGAACAUGGCCCAGUGUGUACAUUCCAUUUCCUGAAGGACGUCAGUGGUGAAACGCAGCCAGUUAGAAAAUGCAACCCAAAGAAAAUCAAUCCCCGUGCUCCACCUGUGCAGACAAGUUCACUCACAUCCUUAUCAGUGCCAGCCCCAGCUCUGACCUCAGGCAAAUUUGGAAGUCACUGGUGAGGCUGUAGGAAGAAAGACAGCUUCAUGAACCCUGUAAAGUUUGACCUCUUUU